CAGUCGCCGCGGUAAUACAGAGGGUGCGAGCGUUAAUCGGAUUUAUUGGGUUUAAAGGGUCCGUAGGCGGAUCUGUAAGUCAGUGGUGAAAUCUCACAGCUUAACUGUGAAACUGCCAUUGAUACUGCAGGUCUUGAGUAAAUUUGAAGUGGCUGGAAUAAGUAGUGUAGCGGUGAAAUGCAUAGAUAUUACUUAGAACACCAAUUGCGAAGGCAGGUCACUAAGAUUUAACUGACGCUGAUGGACGAAAGCGUGGGGAGCGAACAGGAUUAGAUACCCCAGUAGUCCCUGUCUCUUAUAC
rnacentral:rRNA from 1 species